GUCCUCACUGGCCUCCAAGUUUUCUAGGAUGAUGCAAUGUCCAGCCAUCAACACAUUUGUAAAGGAAUUUUUACUCCCGAAAAGAGCGCCCCCCCAUGGCAGGAGAAAAAAAGUCCAUUUUUUCUUGUCCCCUAAGGUGAAAAAACACAUUGUUGACUGUCACGCCUAUACGCUUUGUCAAAAUGACACAAAAUUUGACACACACGUGUAUCUCAAUAAGAUCUACGAAAAAGUCAAUGGGCACGUAUCUGUAAAAUGUACGGUUAAAGGGCUAUUUCGCAUUUUUUGCAGAUCUGCACACAUUGGAAUGUGGCUAACUCCUCCUAAGGCUUUCUUCCCACCGACACCAAAUUUGCUCAAGCCGAUCUACAUCCCAUGGCCAUUCAAAGUUGUAAAAAUCAUGCCGCUGCACCCCAUGGUUUACGUUCUAGGGGGCGCCAAAGAUGACCCAAAUAUCCACAUUCUUAAAAGAAUCCACAUCCCCCCCCCCCCCAAGGCAGGAGAAAAAGUCCAGUUAACCCUGCCCAUCGCUCAAAGGCUCAAUCGCAUCGCACGCCAGGCAACACCGUAAGGAGGAGCAACUUGCCAUUUGGAUAUAUCCUAGCUGUGUUUGUGCCCUCACUCAUGGUCCAGACUUUUUUCAAAUAGGACAUGUAGUUUGUCUGCAGCGACCGUUUUGGUAGAAACUGCGCCUCCCAUUCAUUAUAAUGGGAAAUGACCACAGACAAGUGCGCACACCAUCUUUGGACCUUGAGUGUGAUGCGAUCGGGAGGGGGAGGCGGUCGCGCUGGGGGCGGCGCGACGCAGCUCGGGCCCGACAGUGCCCCACCGGGGCCCUAGUUAUUUUUCCUCCCCUUUGAACUGGAAAAUGGCCCACUUCCCACUGGCGAAAACUCAUGAAAUUUGGCAGGACGACCGGGCCUGGUGAAAAAUUUGAUAUUCUGAAGUCGCCCAAACAAUAAAAUGCAAAAUGGCUCCAUAGCGCCCCCUAAGGUGAAAAUUCACACUAUUGACUGUCACGCCUGUACGCUUUGUCAUAUUGACACAAAAUUUGACACACACAUGUAUCUCAAUAAGAUCUACAAAAAAGUCAGUGCGGGCGUAUCUGUAAAAUGUACGGAUAAAGGGUUAUUUCGCAUUUUUUGCCGAUCCGCACACAUUGGAAUUUCGCUAACUCCUCCGAAGGCUUUCGUUCCACCGGCACCACAUUUGCUCAGGCCAAUCUACACCCCAUGGCCAUUAAAAGUUAUUCAAAUCAUGACGCUGCACCCCACGGUUUACGUUCUAGGGGGCGCCAAAGAUAACCCUAAAAUCCACAUAUUUAAAAGUCUUAUAACUUUUUAUUUUUGCCCUCACUGGCCUCCAAGUUUUCUAGGAUGAUGCAAUGUCCAGCCAUCAACACAUUUGUGAAGGAAUUUUUACUCCCCAAAAGAGCGCCCCCCCAUGGCAGGAGAAAAAAGUCCAUUUUUUCUUGUCCCCUAAGGUGAAAAUACACAUUGUUGAGUGUCACGCCUGUACGCUUUGUCAAAAUGACACAAAAAUUGACACACACAUGUAUCUCAAUAAGAUCUACGAAAAAGUCAAUGCGCGCGUAUCUGUCAAAUGUACGGUUAAAGGGUUAUUUCGCAUUUUUUGCCGAUUCGCACACAUUGGAAUUUCGCUAACUCCUCCGAAGGCUUUCGUUCCACCGGCACCACAUUUGCUCAGGCCAAAUUACACCCCAUGGCCAUUAAAAGUUAUUCAAAUCAUGACGCUGCACCCCACGGUUUAGGUUCUAGGGGGCGCCAAAGAUAACCCAAAAAUCCACAUAUUUAAAAGUCUUAUAACUUUUUAUUUUUGCCCUCACUGGCCUCCAAGUUUUCUAGGAUGAUGCAAUGUCCAGCCAUCAACACAUUUGUGAAGGAAUUUUUAAUCCCCAAAAGAGCGCCCCCCCAUGGCAGGAGAAAAAAGUCCAUUUUUUCUUGUCCCAUAAGAUGAAAAAACACAUUGUUGACUGUCAUACCUGUACGCUUUGUCAUAUUGACACAAAAUUUGACAAUCACAUGUAUCUCAAUAAGAUCUACGAAAAAGUCAAUGCGCGCGUAUCUGUAAAAUGUACGGUUAAAGGGCUAUUUUGCAUUUUUUGCCGAUUCGCACACAUUCGAAUGUGGCUAACUCCUCCUAAGGCUUUCGUCCCACUGACACCAAAUUUGCUCAGGCCAAUCUACACCCCAUGGCCAUUCAAAGUUUUAAAAAUCAUGACGCUGCACCCCACGGUUUAUGUUCUAGGGGGCGCCAAAGAUUACCCAAAUAUCCACAUUCUUAAAAGAAUCCACAUCCCCCAUCCCCCAACCCCCAUGGCAGGAGAAACAGUCAAGUUUUUCCUGCCCAUCACUCAAUGGCUCAAUCGCAUCACUCUCCCGGCAACACCGUAACGAGGAGCAACUUGCCGUUUGGAUAUAUCCUAGCUGUGUUUGUGCCCUCACUCAUGGUCCAGACUUUUUUCAAAUAGGACAUGUAGUUUGUCUGCAGCGAGUGUUUUGGUAGAAACUGCGCCUCCCAUUCAUUAUAAUGGGAAAUGACCACAGACAAGUGCGCACACCAUCUUUGGACCUUGAGUGUGACGCGAUCGGGAGGGGGAGGCGGUCGCGCUGGGGGCGGCGCAACGCGGCUCGGGCCCGACAGUGCCCCACCGGGGCCCUAGUUAUUUUUCCUCCCCUUUGAACUGGAAAAUGGCCCACUUCCCACUGGCGAAAACUCAUGAAAUUUGGCAGGACGACCGGGCCUGGUGAAAAAUUUGAUAUUCCGAAGUCGCCCAAACAAGAAAAUGCAAAAUGGCUCCAUAGCGCCCCCUAAGGUGAAAAAUUCACCUGACGCCUGUACGCUUUGUCAAAAUGACACAAAAAUUGACACACACAUGUAUCUCAAUAAGAUCUACAAAAAAGUCAGUGCGGGCGUAUCUGUCAAAUGUACGGUUAAAGGGUUAUUUCGCAUUUUUUGCCGAUCCGCACACAUUGGAAUUUCGCUAACUCCUCCGAAGGCUUUCGUUCCACCGGCACCACAUUUGCUCAGGCCAAUCUACACCCCAUGGCCAUUAAAAGUUAUUCAAAUCAUGACGCUGCACCCCACGGUUUAGGUUCUAGGGGGCGCCAAAGAUAGCACUAAAAUCCACAUAUUUCAAAGUCUUAUAACUUUUUAUUUUUGUCCUCACUGGCCUCCAAGUUUUCUAGGAUGAUGCAAUGUCCAGCCAUCAACACAUUUGUGAAGGAAUUUUUACUCCCCAAAAGAGCGCCCCCCCAUGGCAGGAGAAAAAAGUCCAUUUUUUCUUGUCCCCUAAGGUGAAAAUACACAUUGUUGAGUGUCACGCCUGUACGCUUUGUCAAAAUGACACAAAAAUUGACACACACAUGUAUCUCAAUAAGAUCUACAAAAGAGUCAAUGGGCGCGUAUCUGUCAAAUGUACGGUUAAAGGGUUAUUCCGCAUUUUUUGCCGAUUCGCACACAUUGGAAUUUCGCUAACUCCUCCGAAGGCUUUCGUUCCACCGGCACCACAUUUGCUCAGGCCAAAUUACACCCCAUGGCCAUUAAAAGUUAUUCAAAUCAUGACGCUGCACCCCACGGUUUACGUUCUAGGGGGCGCCAAAGAUAACCCAAAAAUCCACAUUUUUAAAAGUCUUUUAACUUUUUAUUUUUGUCCUCACUGGCCUCCAAGUUUUCUAGGAUGAUGCAAUGUCCAGCCAUCAACACAUUUGUGAAGGAAUUUUUACUCCCUAAAAGAGCGCCCCCCCCAUGGCAGGAGAAAAAAGUCCAUUUUUUCUUGUCCCCUAAGGUGAAAAUACACAUUGUUGACUGUCACGCCUGUACGCUUUGGCAAAAUGACACAAAAAUUGACAAUCAUGUGUAUCUCAAUUAGAUCUACGAAAAAGUCAAGAGCGCGUAUCUGUAUAAUGUACGGUAAAAGGGCUAUUUUGCAUUUUUUGCCGAUUCGCACAUAUUGGAAUUUCGCUAACUCCUCCUAAGGCUUUCGUCCCACUGACACCAAAUUUGCUCAGGCCAAUCUACACUCCAUGGCCAUUCAAAGUUGUAAAAAUCAUGACGCGGCACCCCACGGUUUACGUUUUAGGGGGCGCCAAAGAUGACCCAAAUAUACAUUACAGUAGACAAAGUAGUUUUGCCCACUGAGUGGCGCCAAAGGGACUUGUCUGUGGAGUCUGUGAGUCACUAUUGGCCGUUUUUGACUACUUUAGAUUUUACCUUUAUAUUUCCUCUUACAAAAUUUUUACCUUGCCUUGCCUGGUAUCAUUUUUUUCAGCACAACCUCACCUGUGUCAAUUUACAGUUAUUUUAUCAUUUUGACAUACUAUAUUUACACAUUGGACCCAAAUUCACACACAAAACAUAAAAUCCGAGUGGAAAAAAGUAACGUUUUUACUGUGAAAACCACAAAUAUGUGUGAUGAACUGUUUUUAAAACUUAAACUUCAAAUAAAAAUUGUAAACUUCAAAACAUAUGCAAAUUUUUAACAAAGAACAUAGUAAUUUACCUCUAUUUACAUCAAAAUGCAGGCAAUGGCCCAGGUGUUCUUUUUAAAAUUAUUUACAAAACACUGUAUAGUCUCACAAAUGUCACUUUUUAUUUAUGCCACUACAAAAAAACAUGAUGUAAAUGAUGCAUGAUGUAAAACAUGAUGUAAAAAACUUGUGUAGAUCCUCCUCUAUGUCAGUCCAUGUGUAAUUUUUCCAUAAUUCUUUGUUUUUUGCAGCAUUUUUGUUAGUGUAACUGCAGAUUGUGCUGACAGUGUCUAUGGCAAAAAAAAAAAAAAAACUGAAAAUGCCUCAACAUGAACCCCUGGUGGUCUCUGAGGGUGAAACCUGCUAACUGCUGCAGCUCUGUCAGCUUCAGUCUCCCAUGCAGAGCUCAGAGCGCAUGUGUGGCUCUGCACCCUUAGCAGCGUUGCUAACUCCUCAGUAAGGAAAGCCUGCUUCAUGUCAGAGUCUCUAAACUCCAGAAGAAGUCGAUAAAAGUCACUUUCUUUCUAAAAAAACGUUGUUAGGGGGUCUGAAAAGUCAUUGAAUCUAACAACAAAGUCGCUAGGUUUGCAACUACGUGUCCCAGACUGCAUCCCUGCUGAGAGUCCCUCCCUCCCUUCUCAUAUUGCAGGAAGAACGUAAGCGCCCGCCCCUUGUCAAUCAGUCACCAUAUAAUUUUGGAUUGGUUGUUGUGGUGAAGUUUUCCACCAAUAGGAGAGAUGUCGUGGUGUGUUUUUUUUCCUUUGGCAAGCCUUUUCCGCCUGUAAGACCUGUCGCUAAUGUCUGCAUGCUAUGUUUUCCUGUCUCAUACAGCGCGAUCGAGCGCCGAACGUGAUCAAAAUAAGCAGAAAACAAGUAUCGCGGACAUAAUUUAUCAUAACUCUGGUUUUAUUUGGCCUAUCAACACAAUUUAAAAACUGGUAUAUAGGUUGAGGUCCUCACUUUUGAGAUAAGUUGAAACGGAGAGUCAACGAGGCUCCGUCUUGCAGCUACAUCCGGUUAAAUAUGUCAUGUGACUUGAACGCACACACACACACACACACACACACACACACACACACACACACACAGACACACACACACACGCACACACACACACUCAGAGUCUGGUUUUUAGCACCUGCAAAAACAUGCUAUUUACAUAUUUGACAAGAAUGCAGAGGCUCCUUUUGCCCCUGAAAAAAAUCAAAUUUCAAACACAACUUGACUGGUCAUUUCUCCAAAAGACAACCAUGAAGCUCCAUCCAAACCUGAAGCAGGCAGUUGGUGCAUGUGUACAGUAACCUGAGGGGAGUGAGGUGACUGCUUCUGAGGAGAACAUGAGCAGUGAAGAUUCACCUUAGAGCUAGAACAGAGACGUGCACAUGAUUAUACAGGGGCAGGGGCUCAAGUUUUUUCCAGUUGUUUAUACAAUAUGGAAAUUAAUGUGAAAUUAAAAAACAAAGUAUUAAUAGAAAGGUAAUGACUGUCCUGUGUAGGUGACAGUGAUAUCCAAUAGGCUAGGCACUCACGAGGCUGGCUGUGGCAAGUGUAAGUGAAAGCAACACGCACUGGCAGGAAGAACAGCAAACGCCGAUGAAGGAAAAGGGUCUUUGCAGUGAUGGGCGUUACCAGAGAGGGCGAUGGCCAGAGGACACAAAUGGGACGGGGAGGCAGCGCGUUGGGGGGGGGGGCGCGACACAGCUCGGGCCCGCCAGUGCCCCAACGGGGUCCUAGUUAGGGCCCGAGCGUAGCUGCUAAGCAGCUGCGAGAGCCCUCUUGUUCCUGUAGUUUCCUUCUUUUGUUAUUAGGGCCCGAGCGUAGCUGCUAAGCAGCUGCGAGAGCCCUAUUAUUCCCCAAGUGGUUUUUCUUUGUUUCUUUUUUCUUUUUCCUCCCCUUUGAACUGGAAAAUGGCCCACUUCCCACUGGCGAAAACUCAUGAAAUUUGGCAGGACGACCGGGCCUGGUGAAAAAUUUGAUAUUCCGAAGUCGCCCAAACAAUAAAAUGCAAAAUGGCUCCAUAGCGCCCCCUAAGGUGAAAAUUCACAUGACGGCUGUACGCUUUGUCAUAUUGACACAAAAAUUGACACACACAUGUAUCUCAAUAAGAUCUACAAAAAAGUCAGUGCAGGCGUAUCUGUCAAAUGUACGGUUAAUGGGUUAUUUUGCAUUUUUUGCAGAUCUGCACACAUUGGAAUUUCGCUAACUCCUCCGAAGGCUUUCGUUCCACCGGCACCACAUUUGCUCAGGCCAAUCUACACCCCAUGGCCAUUAAAAGUUAUUCAAAUCAUGACGCUGCACCCCACGGUUUAGGUUCUAGGGGGCGCCAAAGAUAACACUAAAAUCCACAUAUUCAAAAGUCUUAUAACUUUUUAUUUUUGCCCUCACUGGCCUCCAAGUUUUCUAGGAUGAUGCAAUGUCCAGCCAUCAACACAUUUGUGAAGGAAUUUUUACUCCCCAAAAGAGCGCCCCCCCAUGGCAGGAGAAAAAAUUCCAUUUUUUCUUGUCCCCUAAGGUGAAAAUACACAUUGUUGAGUGUCACGCCUGUACGCUUUGUCAAAAUGACACAAAAAUUGACACACACAUGUAUCUCAAUAAGAUCUACAAAAAAGUCCAUGCGCGCGUAUCUGUCAAAUGUACGGUUAAAGGGUUAUUCCGCAUUUUUUGCCGAUUCGCACACAUUGGAAUUUCGCUAACUCCUCCGAAGGCUUUCGUUCCACCGGCACCACAUUUGCUCAGGCCAAUCUACACCCCAUGGCCAUUAAAAGUUAUUCAAAUCAUGACGCUGCACCCCACGGUUUACGUUCUAGGGGGCGCCAAAGAUAACCCAAAAAUCCACAUUUUUAAAAGUCUUAUAACUUUUUAUUUUUGUCCUCACUGGCCUCCAAGUUUUCUAGGAUGAUGCAAUGUCCAGCCAUCAACACAUUUGUGAAGGAAUUUUUACUCCCUAAAAGAGCGCCCCCCAUGGCAGGAGAAAAAAUUCCAUUUUUUCUUGUCCCCUAAGGUGAAAAUACACAUUGUUGACUGUCACGCCUGUACGCUUUGGCAAAAUGACACAAAAAUUGACAAUCAUGUGUAUCUCAAUUAGAUCUACGAAAAAGUCAAAGAGCGC